UAAGACGAAGGUGGCGAGCGUUGUUCGGAAUCACUGGGCAUAAAGCGCACGUAGGUGGCGGCGUAAGUCGGGUGUGAAAUCCCUCGGCCUAACCGAGGAACUGCGCCCGAUACUGCGUCGCUUGAGGGUCAAAGGGGUGUAUGGAAUUCCCGGUGGAGCGGUGAAAUGCGUUGAUAUCGGGAGGAACGCCGGCGGCGAAAGCGGUACACUGGUUGACUUCUGACACUCAUGUGCGAAAGCCAGGGGAGCAAACGGGAUUAGAUACCCCGGUAGUCCUGGCCGUAAACGAUGGGCACUAGGUAGAGGGGUACCAAACGCCUCUCUGCUGGAGUAAAUAUAUUAAGUGCCCCGCCUGGGGAGUAUGGUCGCAAGGCUG
rnacentral:rRNA from 1 species